CUGAACGGGUGGAGCAGGGAUGACGAAGAUGUUGGCGUCGGGGAUCUCCAUGAGGGCCUGCUGGAUCGCGUCCAGUUCGUUCAGG
rnacentral:tRNA from 1 species